rnacentral:sRNA from 1 species
ACUUAGAUAGUAAUACAGUAGUUUUGUGUAGGAAUUCACUUAGAUAGUAAUCCAGUAGUUUUGUGUAGGAAUUCACUUAGAUAGUUAUACAGUAGUUUUGUGUAGGAAUUCACUUAGAUAGUAAUCCACUAGUUUUGUGUAGGAAUUCACUUAGAUAGUAAUACAGUAGUUUUGUGUAGGAAUUCACUUAGAUAGUAAUCCAGUAGUUUUGUGUAGGAAUUCACUUAGAUAGUAAUCCAGUAGUUUUGUGUAGGAAUUCACUUAGAUAGUAAUCUAGUAGUUUUGUGUAGGAAUUCACUUAGAUAGUAAUACAGUAGUUUUGUGUAGGAAUUCACUUAGAUAGUAAUACAGUAGUUUUGUGUAGGAAUUCACUUAGAUAGUAAUCCAGUAGUUUUGUGUAGGAAUUCACUUAGAUAGUAAUCCAGUAGUUUUGUGUAGGAAUUCACUUAGAUAGUAAUCCAGUAGUUUUGUGUAGGAAUUCACUUAGAUAGUAAUCUAGUAGUUUUGUGUAGGAAUUCACUUAGAUAGUAAUACAGUAGUUUUGUGUAGGAAUUCACUUAGAUAGUAAUCCAGUAGUUUUGUGUAGGAAUUCACUUAGAUAGUAAUACAGUAGUUUUGUGAAGGAAUUCACUUAGAUAGUAAUACAGUAGUUUUGUGUAGGAAUUCACUUAGAUAGUAAUCCAGUAGUUUUGUGUAGGAAUUCACUUAGAUAGUUAUACAGUAGUUUUGUGUAGGAAUUCACUUAGAUAGUAAUCCACUAGUUUUGUGUAG